CGCUGGCACAGCAUGAAACAUGACGCUCUGCGAGGCUGACCUAUGUGGGAAGAUUCCAGGUUCGUGUCUGGAGACCUCCCUAGAUAAAUCGGAAUGGCCACUGAGGAAGAAUGGCUACAUCUGUGAAGGCUAUAAAAAGCGAUGAAGCACUGUCAUUUUGAUUCCCAUAAGCACAUGGUUUUACAGAACUGGAUCGCUCGCAUUUGGACAUGCCAUUUUGAAACGUAUAUUGUACACUCUGAACUGCACACUCCCAGCGUGGCAAAUGCCUUCAGGAAGUUAACUGGAAUUAGUGAUGGAAAAAUCUGACAGAGCCAGAGCACAAAACACAGAACCUCACAUACAGAAGACAUUCAGUGCAAGAACUGGCAUAUAAACAGCUUGGCUUAGGGAAACAGAGGCGUGAGAGUUUAACCUCCACACAAAUCACAUGAAGAUGGAUUGCAUAAGCACGGACUCUGCAGCCAGACUGCCUGGAUACAAAUCCCAGUUCUGCUAUACUGCAUCUCUCUGCUCUGUAAAAAGCGGCUACUAGCAGUA